UCAAAACUCAUUCUUCGAUUUCUAAGCAAAACUUGUACUCACCUAGUUGUGUUUGCAGGGGUUGAGGAUUGGCUCUAUGGUCCCGUGUUUCAACUGUCAAUCAACUGCACAUCAGUGUCUACUUACUGCUGAAGCAAGUACCUUCAUCAGGGUUCCCAAAGAUCAUAUCUUAGAAGGGUCGAAGACGUCCAUUAUUUUGAAGCCAUCAAAUAGAAAA